AGCAGCCGCGGUAAUUCCAGCUCCAAUAGCGUAUAUUAAAGUUGUUGCAGUUAAAAAGCUCGUAGUUGAACUUCAGGCCUGGCUGGAUGGUCCGCCUUCUGGGUGAGUACUGUCUGUGGUCGGGUCCUACCUUCUGGCGAAGCGUCAUGGCCUUAACCGGCCGUGGCGGGGAGCCAGGACUUUUACUGUGAAAAAUUGAGUGUUCAGAGCAGGCACGCGCUUGAAUACAUUAGCAUGGAAUAAUGGAAUAGGACAGUGGUUCUAUUUGUUGGUUUCUAGGACCGUUGUAAUGAUUAAUAGGGAUAGUUGGGGCAUUAGUAUUCAAUUGCCAGAGGUGAAAUUCUUGGAUUUAUUGAAGACUAACUACUGCGAAAGCAUUUGCCAAG
rnacentral:rRNA from 1 species